rnacentral:lncRNA from 1 species
CGAUUUUAUAUAUCACUUCUCAUAAUUGAUACGUUGGCUUUGUUUCCAAAGUUUAUUUUCUCCGUUUAUCAUUUCAUGCAACUGAGAGAAUCAUUCCUUCUUUCCAUCGCGUAUCCAAAUAUCCUUCUCCAAGGUUUUCUUCUGAAGAAGUUCUGCAAGCUAACAAGUUGUCUUUCUCUUGUACCUCAUCAACUUAAUGAGCAUGUUUAGAAGUUCUUUUACGCAAUUUAACUCUACAGUUUGAUCGAUAAUUGCCAUAUUUCUUACAACGAAGCAUUGAACUUGGACUUUUCAAAGUAAGUUUUACUUUCAGAAGUGUGCUGGCCAAUCUUUUUCUUAGACAAUAUAGUAACAUUUAACCCUUUUUCACUAUUGGGACUACCAUUUGAAUUGCUUGAGCUAGUUAAAUUAAUCUUGCUUUUAUUAGCUCAUCGCAGCUUGAGAGCAACAAUUAUUGUGAAGAUCAAAGGAGUAAUAAGGAAACCCCAAAAUCUCAGUGUGACAAGGUUGCAUAUCUUCACAAUAUUUCUGUAAUUAGUGGAGAGAAUCUAGGUGAUAUAGCAACAAAUCAGUCCAACCAGCAAAUUAGCAAAUCAUUCCAAAAUAAUCUGCUCCAAUUCUAUUCCUUCUUUGGAGGAAUGCACCGAACCAGCAUUGUUGAUUAUUGAAGACUUUUGGUUUUCUCCACAUGAUGAAAUAUGAAGAGUGUUAGAGAGGAAGAUGAAGAGUGUUGGAGAGGAAGAUGAAGAGAUGGAUGCAUUCACCAUCAUUAUUAGUCAUUAUUAUUCUUCGUAAUUGUGUGACUCUUAGUAGUCUUAUGCUAUCCUAUAAAUAGGUUUGUCAUGUACUCAAAUCAAAUAAUUCAUAUAUAAAAAAA